rnacentral:rRNA from 1 species
AAUCAACGCUGGCGGCGUGCCUCAGACAUGCAAGUCGAACGAUUAAAGCUCUCUUCGGAGAGUGCAUAGAGUGGCGCACGGGUGAGUAACACGUAAGUAAUCUACCCUCGAGUGGGGAAGUAACGUCCGGAAACGGACGCUAAUACCGCAUAAUGCAGCGGCACCGCAAGGUGACAGUUGUUAAAGAUUUAUCGCUUGAGGAGGAGCUUGCGGCAGAUUAGCUAGUUGGUAAGGUAAUGGCUUACCAAGGCUACGAUCUGUAACCGGUCUUAGAGGACGGUCGGUCACACUGACACUGAAUAACGGGUCAGACUCCUACGGGAGGCAGCAGUCGGGAAUUUUGGGCAAUGGGCGAAAGCCUGACCCAGCAACGCCGCGUGAAGGAUGAAGUAUUUCGGUAUGUAAACUUCGAAAGAAUAGGAAGAAUAAAUGACGGUACUAUUUAUAAGGUCCGGCUAACUACGUG